rnacentral:lncRNA from 1 species
GGAUUUUUAAGAUGGUUUGAUGGACUACUUUACAGGUAAAACCCUCCAACCCAGGAAGAGAAACAUGGUUUAGAUCUUUGUUGGUACUCUCCAGGCUGCUAAGCUGAGAUUAGAGUCAUAGAAUAAGUGGCCAGGCUCUAUGUGUGAAUUGGUUUUAAGCUUUAAGAAAGCUAGAGACAGAUGGUAUCUGGAAGUCAUGGAAAUAUUAAGGGGAUAAGAUUGGGUCAGUCACCAUUUGGUGGCAUACAAUGAAACAAUGUCUGACUCAACAAUCAGGGAAGGUUAGGUGUUGAUGGUCUGGGAGGACACAGACCAGGGUCUUGCUUCAGCUCCAAAUGAAGUUUGCUCCUGCCACAGACCUUCAUAAAGACAUGUUUAUGCUAUUACCACAGAGGACAUAGCACAGUUGUUAUGAUUUUAGUGAUAUGAAAAAAAUAAUUUACUGAACUUGGGGUAUAACAGACAGAAUAUGCGGUGAGAUUGUUUAUCUUCUGUUCUUGUUGUAUCACUACAUACAGACAGGGAGGGAAAAGGACCCCCCACCCCAAACAGAAUUUUUUCCCCUCAAAUCUUUGAGUCCAUAUUAGUAUCACAAUUUCUCAAUAUAAAAAGAGGUUGGUUAGAGUUUCUUGAGGUUUUAUAAUAGUAUUGUUUAGUGCUGAGUCACGCAUGAAAUUGAAAAACUCCCGGUGUAUUAAAUAUAUGAGCCUGAGAAGACGUUUUCCUAAAAUGGUUGAGGAAAUAUUGAUGAAGUUACUCAUUUUCUUUAACUUAUACUGAAAAAUCACUUUAGACAGUAGACUCUAAAAGCAAUCAAAUAUAAAUACAUAAUUGUGUGAAUUUGACCCCACUUCUAUUCAAAUUCUUUGACAAUUUCAUACGUGAAUACUGAAUUUAUAUUAUUUCCAUACUUCCUUUGUGUCCUCUCCAGCUGAUCUUGUUUGCAAAAAUCAAAAUACAUAUAUUUUAGAAAGAGCAAGUUUCUCUGUUUUUAAUAUGUGGUGGUGAAAUUAGAGUUUAGCCAAGGAAACUCUGGUCAUGAAACUAAGUGUUAAAAAAGAGUGAGUUGAGCAGGGCGUGGUGGUGCACGCCUUUAAUCCCAGAACUUGGGAGGCAGAGGCCAGCCUGGUCUACAGAGUGAGUUGCAGGACAGCCAGUGCUGCACACACACACACACACACACACACACACACACACACACACACACACACACACACAAAGACCGUCCAGGAUUACACAGAGGAACCCUGUCUCAAAAGAAAGAAAGGAAGAAAGGAAGAAAGGAAGAAAGG